GAUGAACGCUGGCGGCGUGCCUAAUACAUGCAAGUCGAGCGAACAGAUGAGGAGCUUGCUCCUCUGACGUUAGCGGCGGACGGGUGAGUAACACGUGGAUAACCUACCUAUAAGACUGGGAUAACUUCGGGAAACCGGAGCUAAUACCGGAUAAUAUAUUGAACCGCAUGGUUCAAUAGUGAAAGACGGUUUUGCUGUCACUUAUAGAUGGAUCCGCGCCGCAUUAGCUAGUUGGUAAGGUAACGGCUUACCAAGGCAACGAUGCGUAGCCGACCUGAGAGGGUGAUAGGCCACACUGGAACUGAGACACGGUCCAGACUCCUACGGGAGGCAGCAGUAGGGAAUCUUCCGCAAUGGGCGAAAGACUGACGGAGCAACGCCGCGUGAGUGAUGAAGGUCUUCGGAUCGUAAAACUCUGUUAUUAGGGAAGAACAAAUGUGUAAGUAACUAUGCACGUCUUGACGGUACCUAAUCAGAAAGCCACGGCUAACUACGUG
rnacentral:rRNA from 1 species